AAGUCGUAACAAGGUUUCCGUAGGUGAACCUGCGGAAGGAUCAUUACCGAGUUAGGGUCUUUCAGGCCCGACCUCCAACCCUUUGUUUAUUCUUCCAUGUUGCUUUGGCGGGCCCGCUCUUAGGGGCCGCCGGGGGUUUUACCGCCCCUGGCCAGUGCUCGCCAGUAGCCUAUUUAAAUUCUCUAUAACUGUGUUGUCUGAGUAAUAAUAUAAAUCGUUAAAAAACUUUCAACAACGGAUCUCUUGGUUCUG
rnacentral:misc_RNA from 1 species